CGUCGCUCAGCCCCGCCCCCUCCGGCCCGGCCCGCCCUGCCCCGCCACCCACGGAGCCCUUCUCCCAGCAGGCCGCGCGGUACCGCGUCACUUCCCGGGAAGCCCCCGGGGGAGCGUGGAGUGCCCACCAUCUUGGAGGCGGGCAAGGUGGGGCAGAAGGGCUCGUUUGGCCGGUGAGACUCAGAGGGGUGAAGCCAGAGCGAUGCCUGAGCGGCCAUGUUGGAAUAGGGCACUUAGCCUUCCCUUCCCCGCUUUCCUUGUGGGCGGAGAGAGCAGAGUGUGGGGCCUGGGCGGGCAGAGGCUUCCCCCACUUCCACCAGGGGAGAGGGAGGAGUACCUUACGGGUGCACCGCUCACACCGCACUCGCUAAAAGGAAGAACUUCUGUACUCUCUGAGCUCCCAAGGCCUGGAGCAGACUCCUCUCAGAGUUGGUGCAAGUACCUAUUCUGGACACUUUUAAAAAACAUUUGGAUACUUAUCUUGCUGGGAUCAUUUGACCCUCCCUGACUUCCUCCCCUUGGGCAGUGGGCUGGACCCGAUGAUCUUAGGAGGUCCCUUCCAGCCCUAAUGUCUGUGAAUCUGCAAAUGUGCCAUGCUGCAGCCACCCCAGCCCCAUUAGUCCUGUCCCAGCUAGGCUCAAACUCCAGGGGGGCCCAAAAUCAGGGGAGCCGUGUGCUUGGGGCGGGGAGGUUGUUUCUGUUUGCUGUGUGUCAGUGUUGGAGCCCCUUAGGGUCACAUUUCUGAGCUUUUCUCUGGAAACUGCCAGGCUUGAAAGAUCAUUACUUUUAAUCAGCAAUCCUGGGACUCUGGGAGCUGGCACUUCAUGAAAUACCACAUACCCAGAGGCAUGGGGAGCAAGCACCUUGCCCAAGCUUGUAAAGGAAGGGAGCCAAGGCCCAGCCACUUGUUCAUAGAUUCAUAGACUGUUCAUGGCUAGAAGGGACCUCCAAAGAUCACUGGGUCCAGCCCCCUGCACCAGGCAGGAAAGACAACUGGGAUCAGGGGACUCCAGCAAGGUGCCCUCCAGUCUCCUCUUGAAAACUUCCCAGGGGAAUACCUAGGUUUUCCUGAAGAAGUGUAUUGUAUUAUUUCACCCAGCAAGGACACUCCUCCAGAGAGGUAGAUCGCACAUUUGAAAGAGCCACCUGGAUACCACAUGAAGAACUGCUGCAGUACAGAAGAAAAACACCCACAAAUCGCACACCGCUGGUUAUGACCUAUCACCCAUCCCUUGAACCUAUACGGAAAAUCCUCAAAAAAUUGCAACCCAUAUUAGAAAAAGACCCUAUUCUUAAAAAAAUCUUCCCAGAGCCACCCAUCCUAGCCUUCAGACAAGCACCGAACCUCGCCAACCUCAUCACCAGAAGCAAACUUCCUCAGCCCCAGAACACGCCAAAAGGAUCCAGACCGUGCCAUGACAAGAAAAGCAAAACCUGCCCCCACAUCUCCACCACCUCCACUAUUACUACACCCCACAACAGAGCCAUCAGCAUCCCAGGAUCUUACAGCUGCACCUCCAGGAAUGUAGUAUACCUCAUCCAAUGCACCAAAUGCCCUGAUGGAAGAUAUGUAGGAGAGACCAGACAACAACUGCGCACCAGAAUGAACGCACAUCGGAAAUCCAUCAAAGACAGAAACACCCAAUUACCUGUGGGGGCACAUUUCUCACAGGAGGGCCACUCUCUCUCCAAUCUCAGUCCUGAUCCUCAAGGGAAAUUUACACAACACUUCCCAGAGACGAGCCUAUGAGCUCCAUUUCAUCAACCUGCUGGAUACUAGAGAUCAGGGACUAAACAUAGACACUGGAUUUUUGAUAUAUUACAAUCCGCCUGGCAACUGACUCCCCAGCCCAGCCCAGCCCCUGGCUUGUUUACUUUUCAUUCCAUCCAGGAAGAGCACGCAGCAAGUGCUGCAGCGUCCUUAGCCUGACGAAGGGUUUUUGAACCCGAAAGCUUGCUUAAUAACUAUUCUCCAACCAUUUGGGUUGGUCUAAUAAAAGAUAUCAAAUUCACCCAAGGAACCUUGUCUGCCUGUAUUGUAAGGAAGAAUUUAAAGAAGAAAGAACAAAGGGUUGGGUCCAAGAGAGUAUUCAAGGCAUGCUCAAUUUUUAAAACUUGUAAUCACUCUGUUGUACAGAGAGAGACAGACAGAGAGAGAGAGAGAGAGUGAGAAACAACCCUUGGAAAUUAGUCAAAACAGUAAUAUAUGACAGAACACUGAGAACAAAACAGUAAUAAUCACAGCAGAAAAUAGCACUAAAAAUAUAAUAUAUUUGGAUAUUCUAUAUUGCAAAUCCAUAUGCAGUAUUAGUAAAUAGUCCCUUAGCUUAAAGUAGUUGAAGUUAUUUAGAGAAGCAUAUCUGGAAUCAGAGCCAAAUCCUCUGUACUCUAACUUCUUUGGCUUCACGAAACUGACUCUCUAUAACACAAUACAGUACAAAACAAAUGAUAAGACCAAGAGAGAGAUUAGGGCCUAGUUCCUGCAAAUACUUAAGCACGUGCUUAACUGUAAGAUCUUAGAUGGAUAAUGUUAAAAUGUGUUUAAGACUUGGAUCCUGUAUACAUAAUAUAAGUGUUAAAAUAAUUCGCAAAUAAUGUUUAUUAAGCAUGAACUAUGCUAAAUCAUUGUAAAGCUUUGGGAAAAUAUAUUCUAAAUUUCAAUUAGCUUAGGAAUGUUUCUGCAGCUGAGGCUAUAACACGAGAAAUUAGUUAUUAUAUUGCUCUAUUACUAUUAUAUUUUGCCCCCUGGUGGCUGUUCCACUUUCUUCAAACAGAGGUCUCAUACUGUAAGAAGUCCCUGUUGACCUGAAAGGAAGUAAAAGGAAGUUGGGGGGGAGGUAAGGGUGGAGAACAGGAAACAGAAUAAUGUAACACUUAAAGAUAUACUAUCUUGAC